UGGGGAAUUUUGGACAAUGGGGGGAAACCCUGAUCCAGCCAUCCCGCGUGUGCGAUGAAGGCCUUCGGGUUGUAAAGCACUUUUGGCAGGAAAGAAACGUCGCGGGUUAAUACCCCGCGGAACUGACGGUACCUGCAGAAUAAGCACCGGCUAACUACGUGCCAGCAGCCGCGGUAAUACGUAGGGUGCAAGCGUUAAUCGGAAUUACUGGGCGUAAAGCGUGCGCAGGCGGUUCGGAAAGAAAGAUGUGAAAUCCCAGAGCUUAACUUUGGAACUGCAUUUUUAACUACCGGGCUAGAGUGUGUCAGAGGGAGGUGGAAUUCCGCGUGUAGCGGUGAAAUGCGUAGAUAUGCGGAGGAACACCGAUGGCGAAGGCAGCCUCCUGGGAUAACACUGACGCUCAUGCACGAAAGCGUGGGGGAGCAAAACAGGAUUAGAUACCCUGGUAGUCCACGCCCUAAAACGAUGUCAACUAGCUGUUGGGGUCUUCGGACCUUGGUAGCGCAGCUAACGCGUGAAGUUGACCGCCUGGGGAGUACGGUCGCAAGAUUAAAACUUAAAUGAAUUG
rnacentral:rRNA from 1 species